rnacentral:rRNA from 1 species
GACGAACGCUGGCGGCGUGCUUAACACAUGCAAGUCGAACGGAAAGGCCCUGCUUUUGUGGGGUGCUCGAGUGGCGAACGGGUGAGUAACACGUGAGUAACCUGCCCUUGACUUUGGGAUAACUUCAGGAAACUGGGGCUAAUACCGGAUAGGAGCUCCUGCUGCAUGGUGGGGGUUGGAAAGUUUCGGCGGUUGGGGAUGGACUCGCGGCUUACCAGCUUUUUGGUGGGGUAGUGGCUUACCAAGGCUUUGACGGGUAGCCGGCCUGAGAGGGUGACCGGCGUCAUUGGGACUGAGGUACGGCCCAGACUCCAACGGGAGGCAGCAGUGGGGAAUAUUGCGCAAUGGGCGGAAGCCUGAUGCAGCGACGCCGCGUGCGGGAUGACGGCCGUCGGGUUGUAAACCGCUUUCGCCUGUGACGAGGCGUGAGUGACGGUAAUGGGUAAAGAAGCACCGGCUAACUACGUG